GUUAUAAUAAAGAUAUAAUAUCAAAAGAGUCCCCGUGGUAAAGGCAUUCCCGUCAGCAGAAUGAACGUCUGGCCAGGCUGUCACUGGCUGCUGCUGACACUGACACUCUUACAGUCAAUCAGCCGAGAAGCGUGAGAAAGCCUCAAACAUGCAGAAGAAUGCUGUGCUUAAUCUGAUGGGCCAACACCAUUCUUUCGUCUGUGGUGACUUUGGGUUGUUGUUGCUGGCAGCUGCACAGUGUCACCAGGAGGGUGAUACUGGCAUGGUGAAGAACUGCAUCCCACAUUUAGGGCAGACCUUGUGUUGUUCAUGAUACUGCUUGUAAUGAAGGUUUAAGUCAUGAAGUUUGGGUUCGAGCAUGGGAGCAAGGAUGGAGAACGACUAGGUAGGCUGGGUGGUCUCCGCAGCUAGCCUGAUAAUAUCCACACUGCUCAACUCUCCCUUAUUUCCUCCAAGGGAGGCAGUGCACCACAUCUCAUAUAGGAUGUGCUGCACCAGUGGCGUGGCGUAUAGGGAAGUGCCUCUUUGUAUACCUGCCCAGCACUUUAUUGAACACAAGAAAGGGGUGGCAUACACACUUUGCUGCUCUCCAGGUUUUUGGAGGUGCAUGUGCAAAGUACAAGACAGAGAGGGGCAAGGAUAGAGGAUGCUUCAACAUUCACAGCAUCAUUGGCUCAUGCUUUCUUUUUUGUGGAAAGUAGUCCCCACAGUUUUAACCGAAGGAUUAUAUGUCAUUCAUAUUCAUAGAUUUCAUGACUUAACAUUAUGUUAACCUUUAUGCAUUAGAUCACUUCAUUACAUGUAAGCAUAUAUUUAGCUACAAGGAGUAACGGUUUAUUGAAUUUGUAUUGUAUAAAAACAUAGUGAAGAUUUCUUUAAAGAUUUUUGUUUAUUAGCAUGAUCUAGUUGCUGGUAUGUGUGUGUGUGUGUGUGUGUGUGUGUGUGUGUGUGUGUGUGUGUGUGUGUGUGUGUGUGCGUGCUCACGCUCUCGCACGUGCAUUUAUCUAGUUGCAUUGUACAGGGUUCAAGUGGGGCUCAUAGUGUCCUGUCUCCAUAUCUCCAAUUACCCAAUUUUUCCUUAAAGUUAUGCACAUUAUAUGCUGUAACAACUUCAUUAUUCAAUGCAU